UACGUAGGGGGCAAGCGUUGUCCGGAUUUAUUGGGCGUAAAGAGCGUGUAGGCGGUUUGGUAGGUCCGCUGUGAAAACUCGAGGCUCAACUUCGAGACGCCGGUGGAAACCAUCAGACUAGAGUCCGGAAGAGGAGAGUGGAAUUCCUGGUGUAGCGGUGAGAUGCGCAGAUAUCAGGAAGAACACCCGUGGCUAAGGCGGCUCUCUAGUACGGUACUGACGCUGAGACGCGAAAGCGUGGGGAGCGAACAGG
rnacentral:rRNA from 1 species